UGAGUACGAGAUGCUACGGCAUCGAAGCAGUCUAUGUCAUACUUCCAAGAAAAGCUUGCAAUGUCAUAAACAAAUAAUGCCUGUACCAUAACCGACACAGGUGGGUAGGUAGAGUAUACUAAGGGGCGCGAGAUAACUCUCUCUAAGGAACUCGGCAAAAUGACUCCGUAACUUCGGGAGAAGGAGUGCCUUAUUUUUAUAAGGUUGCAAUAACAAGAUCCAAGCAACUGUUUACCAAAAACACAGGUCUCCGCUAAGUCGUAAGACGAUGUAUGGGGGCUGACGCCUGCCCAGUGCCAGAAGGUUAAAGAAGUUGGUUAGCAUUAGCGAAGCUGAUAACUGAAGCCCUGGUGAACGGCGGCCGUAACAAUAACGGUCCUAAGGUAGCGAAAUUCCUUGUCGGGUAAGUUCCGACCCGCACGAAAGGCGUAAUGAUUUGGAUACUGUCUCGGAGAGGGGCUCGGUGAAAUAGACUUGUCUGUGAAGAUGCGGACUACCUGCACCUGGACAGAAAGACCCUAUGAAGCUUUACUGUAACUUGAGAUUGAAAUUGACUUUAUCUGCGCAGUAUAGGUGGGAGACGUUGAAAAUAUUCUUGCGGGAAUAUUGGAGUCAUCAGUGAGAUACCACUCUUAUAAUGUUAGAUUUCUAACUUUGUAUCAUUAUCUGGUCAAAGAACAGUUUCAGGCGGGCAGUUUGACUGGGGCGGUCGCCUCCCAAACGGUAACGGAGGCGCACAAAGGUUUCCUCUGAACGUGUAGAAAUCGUAUCUUGAGUGUAAAGGCAUAAGGAAGCUUGACUGUGAGACCUACAAGUCGAGCAGGGACGAAAGUCGGUCUUAGUGAUCUGACGGUUCUGAGUGGAAAGGCCGUCACUCAACGGAUAAAAGUUACUCUAAGGAUAACAGGCUGAUCUCCCCCAAGAGUUCACAUCGACGGGGAGGUUUGGCACCUCGAUGUCGGCUCAUCGCAUCCUGGGGCGGUAGUACGUCCCAAGGGUUGGGCUGUUCGCCCAUGAAAGCGGUACGCGAGCUGGGUUCAGAACGUCGUGAGACAGUUCGGUCCAUAUCCGGUGUAGGCGUUAGAAUAUUGAGAGGAGCCUUCUUUAGUACAGGACCGAGAAGGACAUACCUCUGGUGUACCAGUUAUCGUGCCAACGGUAAACGCUGGGUAGCCAUGUAUGGAGAGGAUAACCGCUGAAAGCAUCUAAGUGGGAAGCCCACCUCAAGAUAAGUA
rnacentral:rRNA from 1 species